AUGAACGCUAGCUACAGGCUUAACACAUGCAAGUCGAGGGGCAGCAUUUUAGUUUGCUUGCAAACUAAAGAUGGCGACCGGCGCACGGGUGAGUAACACGUAUCCAACCUGCCGAUAACUCGGGGAUAGCCUUUCGAAAGAAAGAUUAAUAUCCGAUGGUAUAUUAAAACCGCAUGGUUUUACUAUUAAAGAAUUUCGGUUAUCGAUGGGGAUGCGUUCCAUUAGUUUGUUGGCGGGGUAACGGCCCACCAAGACUACGAUGGAUAGGGGUUCUGAGAGGAAGGUCCCCCACAUUGGAACUGAGACACGGUCCAAACUCCUACGGGAGGCAGCAGUGAGGAAUAUUGGUCAAUGGACGAGAGUCUGAACCAGCCAAGUAGCGUGAAGGAUGACUGCCCUAUGGGUUGUAAACUUCUUUUAUAUGGGAAUAAAGUAUUCCACGUGUGGGAUUUUGUAUGUACCAUAUGAAUAAGGAUCGGCUAACUCCGUGCCAGCAGCCGCGGUAAUACGGAGGAUCCGAGCGUUAUCCGGAUUUAUUGGGUUUAAAGGGAGCGUAGGUGGAUUGUUAAGUCAGUUGUGAAAGUUUGCGGCUCAACCGUAAAAUUGCAGUUGAAACUGGCAGUCUUGAGUACAGUAGAGGUGGGCGGAAUUCGUGGUGUAGCGGUGAAAUGCUUAGAUAUCACGAAGAACUCCGAUUGCGAAGGCAGCUCACUAGACUGCAACUGACACUGAUGCUCGAAAGUGUGGGUAUCAAACAGGAUUAGAUACCCUGGUAGUCCACACAGUAAACGAUGAAUACUCGCUGUUUGCGAUAUACAGUAAGCGGCCAAGCGAAAGCAUUAAGUAUUCCACCUGGGGAGUACGCCGGCAACGGUGAAACUCAAAGGAAUUGACGGGGGCCCGCACAAGCGGUGGAGCAUGUGGUUUAAUUCGAAGCAACGCGAAGAACCUUACCAGGUCUUGACAUCCUUUGACCACUCUAGAGAUAGAGCUUUCCCUUCGGGGACAAAGUGACAGGUGGUGCAUGGUUGUCGUCAGCUCGUGCCGUGAGGUGUCGGCUUAAGUGCCAUAACGAGCGCAACCCUUAUCUUUAGUUACUAACAGGUCAUGCUGAGGACUCUAGAGAGACUGCCGUCGUAAGAUGUGAGGAAGGUGGGGAUGACGUCAAAUCAGCACGGCCCUUACGUCCGGGGCUACACACGUGUUACAAUGGGGGGUACAGAAGGCAGCUACCUGGUGACAGGAUGCUAAUCCCAAAAACCUCUCUCAGUUCGGAUCGAAGUCUGCAACCCGACUUCGUGAAGCUGGAUUCGCUAGUAAUCGCGCAUCAGCCAUGGCGCGGUGAAUACGUUCCCGGGCCUUGUACACACCGCCCGUCACACCAUGAGAGUCAGUAACGCACGAAGUCAGUAACCUAACCGCAAGGGAGGAGCUGCCGAAGGCGGGACCGAUGACUGGGGUG
rnacentral:rRNA from 1 species